rnacentral:sRNA from 1 species
ACACUCUAUAUGAAUUCCCCUUCUUUUUAUCUCUCUUGAGUCUUGAGAGGUAUAUAGGCUAGUAAACGGUAUGAAGAUCGAAUAGUACAAAAAAAAAAAUUAUAAUAAUAAUAAUAAUGAAGUGUCAAGAGAAGUAUAUAAUGUUGACUACUUAGAAGAAGGAAGAGUAGCUAACUUAAUUACUUUAAGAAAGGAAUCAAAAGACAGCAAAUCGUAUAUAACUAUAUUUAGUUUAUACAGGUGUGGGAGAGGAGAGCACUCUGAGUCUGAGGAUAUAAAGAUAUAUAAUCUGAUAUGAUGAUGAUAGUCUCUCAUUUUUAUUGGAAGCUGUUUCUAGCAAUUCAAUUAAAUGACAGAAGAACAUGCUUCAUGUGGUGUAUCUGUGUGCAUGUCCUACCCUCAAUUGCCAAGGUAGUCCAUAUGCAACCAACAUAACUAUCCAUCAUCCAUCACAGCAAUACGGAAGUAAGUAAGAACGGUUUCGCCCCUGCA